AUUGAACGCUGGCGGCAGGCCUAACACAUGCAAGUCGAACGGUAACAGGAAGCAGCUUGCUGCUUCGCUGACGAGUGGCGGACGGGUGAGUAAUGUCUGGGAAACUGCCUGAUGGAGGGGGAUAACUACUGGAAACGGUAGCUAAUACCGCAUAACGUCGCAAGACCAAAGAGGGGGACCUUAGGGCCUCUUGCCAUCGGAUGUGCCCAGAUGGGAUUAGCUAGUAGGUGGGGUAACGGCUCACCUAGGCGACGAUCCCUAGCUGGUCUGAGAGGAUGACCAGCCACACUGGAACUGAGACACGGUCCAGACUCCCACGGGAGGCAGCAGUGGGGAAUAUUGCACAAUGGGCGCAAGCCUGAUGCAGCCAUGCCGCGUGUAUGAAGAAGGCCUUCGGGUUGUAAAGUACUUUCAGCGGGGAGGAAGGGAGUAAAGUUAAUACCUUUGCUCAUUGACGUUACCCGCAGAAGAAGCACCGGCUAACUCCGUG
rnacentral:rRNA from 1 species